rnacentral:lncRNA from 1 species
AAACGUCUUGCUGUUGGCAAAUGUAAAAAUCUGAACACGGUGAAGUUUCUGUACACCGAGAUCCUAGCCGAGAUCCUGACCAGGAUUGCGAAACAAGAUCGGAGGCUCACUAGCCCGUUGAAAGUCAUGUAGGUGAAAAUAUUGCACCUAUAUCAUUACAUACUUCUUUAAUUUUCUUAUGUUCAUGUUGCCAGCGUGACAUGAAGGCAGAUCAGGUUGCAAAAAGUCACCAGAAUAAAUAGGUGCUCACUAGAGAUGCUGCAAAGUCCUCAUCACUGAUCAAAUCAAGUUACACGUAUGCCAUCAUGUCUAUUGCAUCGCUUUUUUGUAGCCUUUACACGAAUUUCUUCCUUGCAGGAUUAAGAAGUCGAUUUUUCCCCCUGCCAGGGGCCCUGGGCAAGGAUAGAGCUCCAGUAACUUUCCUGUAGCUGACCAUAAAUCAAAGGUGAAUCCAUCACCAGGUGACUAAAUACUGGAUCUGCAUCGAUGGCGCAUGUGUCAUACCCUGUCAGGAAGAGGGCCAGGACUCUGCGCCGCAUGUCUGCAGAGACUUUUCCGGCAAACCUUCCAGUGACAUGCUGGCAUGCCAUCAUGAAUGUGUUCAGAAGUCAGACCUGCGUUCUCAUAUUGAAUGUCAUGCUCAGGAACGAUAUUCAAGUCUACGAAGGAGUCUCAUCCACGCAGAAACGCUCCUAUGCUCUGAGCAGGCAUGG